AAUGCAAGUCGAACGGUAAGGCGAGUCACUCUUCGGAGUGACUCGUACACGAGUGGCGCACGGGUGAGUAACGCGUGGGUAAUCUGCCUUCGGGUUUGGGACAACUCCGGGAAACUGGAGCUAAUACCGAAUAAGACCACGAGGUCUUUGGACCUUGCGGAAAAAGGUGGCCUCUUCUUGAAAGCUAUCGCCGGUUGAUGAGCCCGCGUCCCAUUAGCUUGUUGGUGAGGUAAAGGCUCACCAAGGCAUCGAUGGGUAGCUGGUCUGAGAGGAUGAUCAGCCACACUGGAACUGAGACACGGUCCAGACUCCUACGGGAGGCAGCAGUCGGGAAUCUUGCACAAUGGGCGAAAGCCUGAUGCAGCAACGCCGCGUGAGGGAUGAAGGCCCUCGGGUCGUAAACCUCUGUCGGAAGGGAAGAACGUAUUUCGGGCCAAUACCCCGGGAUACUGACGGUACCUUCAAAGGAAGCGCCGGCUAACUCCGUGCCAGCAGCCGCGGUAAUACGGAGGGCGCGAGCGUUAUUCGGAAUUAUUGGGCGUAAAGCGCGUGUAGGCGGCUGGGAAAGUCGGGUGUGAAAGCCCGGGGCUCAACCCCGGAAUUGCAUUCGAAACUACCCAGCUAGAGUCUCGGAGAGGA
rnacentral:rRNA from 1 species